rnacentral:snoRNA from 1 species
UCGUCAGUAAGGUAUAUCCUUACCUGUUACUCCUAUUAAGGAGUUGCAGAAAAUGAUGAAUGGAGAUCUAUGAGAUAUGAUUAGUAUCUCUCUCUUUUGGGGAACAGCAACACCCCAUAAGAGCCAUUCUGAU